CCCUUUGCGCGGCCUACACAUGCAAGUCGAGCGGUAGCACAGAGAGCUUGCUCUCGGGUGACGAGCGGCGGACGGGUGAGUAAUGUCUGGGAAACUGCCUGAUGGAGGGGGAUAACUACUGGAAACGGUAGCUAAUACCGCAUAAUGUCGCAAGACCAAAGAGGGGGACCUUCGGGCCUCUUGCCAUCAGAUGUGCCCAGAUGGGAUUAGCUAGUAGGUGGGGUAACGGCUCACCUAGGCGACGAUCCCUAGCUGGUCUGAGAGGAUGACCAGCCACACUGGAACUGAGACACGGUCCAGACUCCUACGGGAGGCAGCAGUGGGGAAUAUUGCACAAUGGGCGCAAGCCUGAUGCAGCCAUGCCGCGUGUAUGAAGAAGGCCUUCGGGUUGUAAAGUACUUUCAGCGGGGAGGAAGGUGUUGAGGUUAAUAACCUCAGCAAUUGACGUUACCCGCAGAAGAAGCACCGGCUAACUCCGUGCCAGCAGCCGCGGUAAUACGGAGGGUGCAAGCGUUAAUCGGAAUUACUGGGCGUAAAGCGCACGCAGGCGGUCUGUCAAGUCGGAUGUGAAAUCCCCGGGCUCAACCUGGGAACUGCAUUCGAAACUGGCAGGCUAGAGUCUUGUAGAGGGGGGUAGAAUUCCAGGUGUAGCGGUGAAAUGCGUAGAGAUCUGGAGGAAUACCGGUGGCGAAGGCGGCCCCCUGGACAAAGACUGACGCUCAGGUGCGAAAGCGUGGGGAGCAAACAGGAUUAGAUACCCUGGUAGUCCACGCCGUAAACGAUGUCGACUUGGAGGUUGUGCCCUUGAGGMGUGGCUUCCGGAGCUAACGCGUUAAGUCGACCGCCUGGGGAGUACGGCCGCAAGGUUAAAACUCAAAUGAAUUGACGGGGGCCCGCACAAGCGGUGGAGCAUGUGGUUUAAUUCGAUGCAACGCGAAGAACCUUACCUACUCUUGACAUCCAGAGAACUUUCCAGAGAUGGAUUGGUGCCUUCGGGAACUCUGAGACAGGUGCUGCAUGGCUGUCGUCAGCUCGUGUUGUGAAAUGUUGGGUUAAGUCCCGCAACGAGCGCAACCCUUAUCCUUUGUUGCCAGCGGUCCGGCCGGGAACUCAAAGGAGACUGCCAGUGAUAAACUGGAGGAAGGUGGGGAUGACGUCAAGUCAUCAUGGCCCUUACGAGUAGGGCUACACACGUGCUACAAUGGCGCAUACAAAGAGAAGCGACCUCGCGAGAGCAAGCGGACCUCAUAAAGUGCGUCGUAGUCCGGAUUGGAGUCUGCAACUCGACUCCAUGAAGUCGGAAUCGCUAGUAAUCGUAGAUCAGAAUGCUACGGUGAAUACGUUCCCGGGCCUUGUACACACCGCCCGUCACACCAUGGGAGUGGGUUGCAAAAGAAGUAGGUAGCUUAACCUUCGGGAGGGCGCUACCACCUUUUGAUUCAGGGG
rnacentral:rRNA from 1 species